rnacentral:lncRNA from 1 species
GAGUAAGAAUGAGAACCCAGGGCAUCUUUUGGUUUAAAUUGAUGGGGUUCGUUUAAUAUUGACCUAGCCAAUUUUCUUUUGGCAAAUUUUCUUCUUCUUUUUUUGGUUAAACUAAAUUUUUUAUUUAAUUAAAUAUAUCAAUAUGUACAAACGACUCAUUGGACUCAUGAGUCAGCUCACAUUAUUUUUUAUAACUAUUCUAAUUGUUCUUUAUCUACUUAACUUCUAUAACUACUGUCAAUAACAAUGGUAAUAUAAUUAACUCUUUAAAAUCUAUAUUGAGUAUUCAGGCUAUCCAAGUGCUGCUGCCAUUUGCCAUUCUUCUGACCAUAUAUGUGUAGCUGCAAUGUAAUCUCCUUAAUCAGUUGCAUGCUUUCUCGUCUCUGAUUAAAUGGCCCAAGACAUGUUCAAUAAUCAACUAAUAGUUGAGGAGAAAGAAUCACUUGCUCACUUGGAAAAUUGGAUGGGAACUUAAGAGCAAAUACUUAAGGCAGAAGUCCAGAUCUAUAUGGAUAUCAUAUGAGAUGCCAACACCAAGUAUUUUCAUGUACAACUGAAAGCAAGACAAGCCAGAAACAUAAUAUCUUCUAUUUGCAAUGAUCAAAGAGUACUACUCACAGAGCCAGAUUUGGUACAACAACUCUUGGAAUAUCAUAAACAGUUGCUGGGAGAUGUUGAGUCACUAAUGCCCUGUAUUGAUACUACUAUUGCUAGAGAUGGUCCAUGCCUUUCAUUGAUCCAGCAGCAGGAAUUGCUAAACCAGUUACUAGAGAAGAUAUUAUCCAAGCUGUUAAAGACCUCCCAAAUGAUAAAGCCCCGGGUGUAGAUGGAUUCACAAUUGAAUUCUUUAAAGCUCAUUGGGAGACAGUAGGUGAAGAUAUAUUUAAGUCAAUACUAUAAUUUUUUAACAAUGGUAAGUUGUUAAGGGAGGUGAACUAUACCACAUUCACCUUGGUUCCUAAAGUUUUUUGUCCAUCUUAUGCUAAAGAUUUCCGACCUAUAGCAUAUUGUAGUACUGUUUAUAAGAUUGUUGAAAAAGUGCUAACUAAAAAAAUUAAACACAUGGUUGAUUACCUGGUGGGUCCAUCUCAAUCUACAUUCAUUGAAGGUCGAAACAUUCUGGAAUGUGAUUGUAGCUCACGAGUUAGUGAAGAGUUAUGGGAAAAAAGGAGAAUCCCCUAGAUGCCUAUCAAAGGUAGAUAUCCGAAAAGUAUAUGAUUCUUUGAAUUGGGAAUUCCUGAGGCAAGUGCUAAUGAAAUUUGGAUUUCCUCAAAAACUGGUCAAUUUGAUCAUGAAUUGUAUUUCUACAGUCAGCUAUUCAUUGCUUCUAAAUGGUAGUCUAACUCCUAUAUUUCAUGCAAAUAGAGGGCUGAGACAAGGGGAACCUAUGUCCCUAUAUCUAUUUGUCAUAGUUAUAUAGUACCUAAAUAGAUCCUUGAAGCAACUAAGGAAUAACCCUGAUUUUAACUAUCACCUAGAUGUGCAAAACAGCAAAUAGUUCAUAUUUUCUUUGCGGAUGAUCUACUGAUAUGUUGCAGGGUAGACAACGUCUCUAUUCUACUCAUGAUGCAAGCAUUUGAGCAUUUUUCUAGUGUUUUUGGACUGAAGGAAAAUCUGGAGAAGAGUUCAUUUUAUGUUGCAUGAGUGACACAAGAGUUCAGAACUCAAAUAAUGCAAGAUAUGCAUUUCACUAUUGGGGAGAUGCCAUUCAAAUACUUGGGUAUUUCACUAUCUUCAAGGAAGCUUUAUAUUCAUCAGUGUCUACUCUUGGUCGAAACCACUAAGUUCCUAUCAUAUAGUCGAAGAGUUCAACUCAUCAAUGGUGUACUGUUCGAGAUACAUACAUAUUGGGCCAAAGUGUUCUUAUUGCCUAAGAAGAUCUUGAUUAUGGUGACAAAUGUAUGCAGUAAUUUCUUGUGGACAGGGAGUAAUGAAUACUCAAGAAGAGCCUUAAUAGCUUGGAGCACAAUAUGUCUUCCUAAAGCAACAAGAGGAUUAAAUAUAUUGGACUUCUUUACAUGGAAUAAAGCUGAAAUCUGUAAACUAUUGUGGCUAGUGGGUAAAAAGAAGGACAAACUGUGGAUCUAAUAGAUCCACAGUAUAUACAUAAAGGGCAGGGAGCUAAACAAUAUAUCAACCCCAAGCCAAUCAGCUGGUUAGUGAGGAAGAUAUUUGAUGCAAGGAAAUGGUUGACACAAUUUGGGAAUGUGAUGGACUGCCUUGAAUCAUUUGAAGAUAGAGGGAAAUUCAGUAUCAAAAAGGCUUAUCAAUCCUUUUUACCUACUUCUGCGAAAGUUCCAUGGAAGAGUCUGGCCCUAGGGAAAGGAAUUAUCCCUAGGCACCAGUUUAUUCUAUGGCUGAUAGUUCAUAAAAAAUAUCAAUAGUGGACCGACUACAGAAAUGAGGAAUUACAGUGAUGCAAGACUUUUGUAUGUAACACAAAUGCAGUAGAGAUAUUGGACCAUCUAUUGUUUUGUUGUGAUUAUUCCUAGUAGAGUCGCGAUAUUGUUGCGCUCCCUUUCUUCUCGCGGAGUCUGGGUUUCGACAUUCAUAAGGAACAACUCAUUUCCUUUCGGAAAUUUGAUAUUUCAAUUUGAAGAGUCGUUACCUAAUGGAUUUAGGGUGUGUUAGGGGUACCUAAAGCAAGUAACUCAUGAAAUGGAUUUGCAUUACCAGAGAUUGGGUAAGGGAUCGAAAUAAUCUUGAGAGGAAGGUGUUAAGCACCCCUUGCUGUAACAACUCGGCCGAUCGUUUUUAGAAUUUACAACCUGUUCCCCUAUUAAAUGCUUCCUUAUGUUUCAUUAAUCGUAAUCGGUGCGUUAGAAUUGAAUUGGAGAGAUUUUUUAUAAGUAAUGAGACACUUAGUCUCUUUUAAGAAAUAAGUUGGAAAAAGUCAACUGAGCAUUGACUUAAGAGUUAGAGACCUCGAAAUGAAAAUCUGAUGGUUCCAUUUGCUGCGUUAGGUAAUUUCGGGGAUUGGAGCGUGUUCAGAAGGUAUUUUGGAAGUCCGUAGCUCAUUUAGGCUAGAAAUGCCAAAAGUUAGAAUUUUGGCAAUAUUUGGUUGAUAGGUGGAAUUUUGAUCCGAGGGUCAAAAUAGAGUUCUGGAUGUCUCUGUAACUUUGUUAGGUUAUUUGGGAUAUAUGCACAAAAUUUCAAGUCAUUCUGAUAUGAUUUGGUCGGGUUUUUUAUGAAAUGGGAGUUUCGGAAGUUUUUGUUGAACUUAGGCUUAAAUCCGUUGAGGAUUGGUGAUUUCUGUGUUGUUGGAUGUGUUUUAUGAUUGGAAAAAAUUCAUAUGAUAUUUUAGGAUGGGUCUGCACUUUUGGUUGAGGUCCUGAGGGCCUGGAAAUGAUUUCGGAUGGCCAACGAGAACUUUUGAAGUUGCAUAUUUCAUAAUAGAAGAAAGUUGUAAAUAAGUGCGCACAAGACCUCCCUUUGGAUGAUCAUAUAUCCCGUUAUAUACGGAGUUGUGUGAAAAACCUAUCAAAUUAAAGCCCUUUGAGUCAAAAUUCCAACGCAAUAAACCGUUCAUCGUUUGAGGUGUAUACAGAAAGUUAUGGCUAUUUGACUGGGCAUGUAUCAGUAGCACAUGAUUAGCGUUGGUGCACUAAUUGGGUUAUCUUCGGCCUCACUAGCCCGGGCGCGCUAGUAACAUGCCUCUAAAUACACCUAAGGACGGGAAAUGACAUUAUUUGAGUCAUUUCUCAAGCCUAGGGCUUCCCCAACACCUCCAAUUCGACCAAGGCACCCAAUUGCACUCCUAAGGUAAGUUUUUAAGUGUGUUUUCAUAGUGAUUUCACUUCUCAAUCACUAGUCACAACAUAAUUUUGAUUGGAUUUCAUAGGAUUUAUUAAAAAUUUCAAGAACACCCCAAAGUUGACUUUCAAGAUUUGGUCUACAAGAGGUAAUCCUACACCUAUGACUUACACACAUAGGGUUAAUAUGGGAUUAUGAGUAUGAAUCAGGGAUUACAACUUAUGAUAUGUUGAUUGGAGGCCAUAAACAUUCAAUUUAAAUAUAUGAACAUGAUAGGGAUUUAAAGGUGUUAUUUGAUGGAAUUUAGUUUGUUGGGUAUGAAUGGAUGGUCAUACAUGUGUAGUUGGAAGUUAUAAAUUGGUUAGGAAUGAUGGCGAGAUGAAUGGUUAGUAAAUGGUGAUAGUUGUAGGAACCAAUACUAUAGUUAUGAGGUGUAAAUAUCUAUACCUACAAGGUGUUUGAUAAUAUGCCUAAAUGGCAUAAGUUAUGGAAUUUAUUACCAAUAUUGACCCUAUUGAAUGUUGUAUUGUAGAUUGAAGUUAUAUAACUGUAUUGGAUCAUUGUGGUAUCAUUAAAGGGCGAAUUUCAGAUAUGUAUGGCUAACACCCCGUCUUUUGUAAAUCGAGCUUCAUCGAUAUUUGUGUGAUUUUGGUCAUUUUUACAUAAUAUCGCGAAUUAGCUUAGAAUUUAAUUGUAGAAUAAAUUAGUUGAAUUAUUUGCAAUCUAAUUGAAUAGAAUUGAGGCAUUUGGAGUCGGAUACUCGUGGAAAGAGCGUGGUUUUGGGUUGAAUUGCACUUGUUUGAGGUAAAUGGCUUGUCUAACUUUGUAUGGGGGACCUCUCCCCUUAGGAUAUCUUGAAUGUUUCUUAAAUGCCUUGUGCGCGAGGUGACGAGCGUGUACUUGUGCUCAUUGUUGAAAAUUCACCUUACUUGACUUAUUUAAAUUGCGUUUCCUUCCUUAUUUAACUGUUAUAAAUGCAAUAUCACUUAUUUCUGCUUAGGGAAAGCAUGCUAGUUAGCUUACUUAUUUUAUUUGACUAAAUGACAAUAUAUGCUCUUUGUGAAGCAUGGUAGACUAUAAUUUCUAUUAGUUGUCAUUGAUUAGAAUUUCUUUUACAUUAAUUGAAUUAUUGUGGUGUGUUUACUAUUUGGGACUACGUGACGUCACCCCGGAAGCUUCCCUUGGUGUGUUAUGUUCUAUGACUGGAUGUGUGGGAUACUAAGAGAUCCCUGACACAUGAUUGAUUGUAAAAUGAGGAUACUUCCGGAUGCUCCCUUGGUGUGUUAUGUUCUAAGACUGGAUGUGUGGGAUACUAAGAGAUCCCUGGCACAUGAUUGAUUGUAAAAUGAGGAUACUAAGAGAUUCUCGGGAUACUUGGAUAUUCCUCGUGAUUAAAUGGAGAAUACUAGGAGAUCCUCGGGAUACCAGGAUAUCCCCGAUGAUAAAUAGCCUGUAGGGAUUGUUCUUUUAUUCAUAUAUUGUAUUUGUAAUCUGUUUCUGUCUUGCUUAUUAUUUUUGUAGACACUCGAUAUACACUGUACUCAUAGGGUCUAUUCAUUUCAUAUUUAUUUUUAUGUUUAUCUCAGUAGGUCUCGACCUUUAUCAUCACUACCCAACCGAGGUUAGGCUUGGCACUCACUGAGUACCGCUGUGGUGUACUCACGCCUAUUCUGCACAUGUUUUUCAUAUGCAUAUCCAGGUAAUUCUGAGCAGGCGUACCGCCAGUAGCUGUCAGAAAGCGUAUUGGGGAGUUGAGGUAUACAUCUGCUACGUCCGGAGAUCUGCAAAGUCCCCUUCUUAUCCUAUCCAUAGUUGUUAGAUGCUAUUUCAAUCCCUCUUUGUAUUAGACUAUUCUGGUGACUAGAGUAGUGUACGAUUUCUUAUAGCCUGUGUUGCCCGUGGGUUUCCGGGUCUUGGAGGUUGUUUCGGUGUUCUGUUAUCUUUUUCGUAAAGAUUGUUAAAUUCCAUAAUGUGUUAGGCUUACCUAGUCGUGAAGACUGGGUUCCGUCAUGACAUGUUAACAAUUGGUGAACUAGGGUCUUGACAAGUUGGAAUCAGAGCUCUAGGUUCACAGGAGUCACGAAAUAUAGGCCGAUUUAUUAGAGUCUCGCUGAUCGUUACGGAGAUGUAUGUACUUAUCUACGAGGGGCUAUGUAGCUAUUUAGGAAAAGAUUCCCACUUCAUUUGAAUUCCUUAUCGUGUGAUAUUUUGGACACCUAUUCUAAAUGUUUGUUUUUCAAUUCUCUCACAGAUGGUGAGGACACGCACGACCUAGGACAAUCAGGCACCCGCACCCCCUCCUGCAGCCGCUAGAGGUAGGGGUCGAGGACGCGUGCGUGGUACAGCAAGAGCAUUUGCGCGAGCUAUAGCCGAGCUGCCACCAGUGGAUCCAGCCAGGACUCAGGCACCUGACACGCCCACAUCUACCACGACUCCAGCUGUUCUGGAGGUAUUGGCAGAGUUUAUGAGCAUACACUAUGACAGGCAGGGUUGCUUCCCCUUCUUGCAGCCACGUACCAGGCCGGGGGAGGAGCCCAAACUCCCGUAGCCCGCACUUCAGAGCAAAGGCUGCAUAUGGGACAGGUUCCAGAUAUUAUUCCCGUCUAGCCUGCGAUACUGUAUCAGCCCGAGGAUGGGGCACCUGCUUCUGAGGAUUAGCAUCGUAGAUUGGAGAGGUUCAAGAAGUAUGACCCUCCCAUUUUAGCAGACUAUCCACGGAUGAUGCUUUGGGGUUUUUGGAGGAUUGUCACUGCAUUUUUAGUACCAUGGGUACUACUGCCUCGAGCGAGGUUUCUUUUACAGCUUUCCAACUUUGGGGAGCCGCCUAUGACUGGUGGUGCACCUUUGAGUUAGACAGUCCGGAUGAGGCCGCCUCCCUGACUUGGACUCAGGUUUCAGAUAUGUUUCAGAGGGAGUUUGUUCCCCAGAGCCUCCGAGAUGCAUGGCACGUGGAGUUUGAGCACUUGCGCCAUGGCCCUAUGAGUGUCUCUGAGUAUGCCAUCCAUUAUACUAGGUUGGCCAGGCAUGCACCUGCUUUGGUGGCUAAAUUUUAUGAGAGGGUUCGUAGGUUUAUCGAGGGUCUUAUUCCUUCCAUCAGGUCUAGCAUGGCGCGAGAGUUGGAGAUGGAUAUACCCUAUCAAUAGGUGGUGAGUUUAGCCAGGAGGAUAGAGGGUGUGCAUGCUAGAUAGCGAGAGGAGAGAGAGGCCAAAAGGUCUCUCGAGUCUGGACAUUUCUCUGGUACUCGUACUUUAGGAGCAAGACUUCAUGGUAGGGGCUAUAUGGGUCGCCCAGUUCACUCAGCUCUUUCUUUUUGUGCCAGGGCCCUAUGACUGUCUCUAAGUAUGUCAUCUAUUAUACUAGGUUGGCCAGACAUGCGCUGGCUUUGGUGGCUACUGUUCAUGAGAGGGUUCGCCUAUUUAUUGAGGGUCUUAUUCCUCCCAUCAGGUCUAGGCAUGGCUUGAGAUUUGGAUAUGUCUAUACCCUAUCAGGAGGUAGUGAGCAUAUCUAGGAGCAUAGAGGGUAUGCAGGCUCGAGAGUGAGAGGAGAGAGAGGCCAAAUAGUCUCGAGAGUCGGGUUAUUACUCUGGUACCCGUACAUCAAUAGCAAGACAUCAUGGUAGGGACUAUACAGGUUGCCCGAUUCACUCAGCUCUUCUUUCAUCCAGCAAUACUCCAGUUCCCCCUAUAUAUCAUGAGCCUUAUUACGCACCUUCGAUUUCUAGUGUGCCUCAUGCGCAGGGUACUUUCAGAGGUCAGUCUAGCAGGGGUGGGCCCAGUCAGUCACAUCCACCGAGCCCUCCCAGAGCUUGUUAUGAGUGCGGGGAUACUUGCCAUGUAGUGAGGGAUUUCCCUAGGCUUGGGAGGAGUGCACCUCCACAGCAUUCUCAGCCACAUCAUAGCAGUGGGAUUCUCAAGGCAUUGUUCCAGCUCCAGCUGCCACCCCACAUGCCUAGCCAGCUAGGGGCGGAGACCAGGGAAAUAGAGGUUGCCAUCGAGGGAGGGGUCGGGCCAGAUUUUAUGCUAUUCCUGAUCGUGUCGAGGUUGCCGCCUCCGAUUAUGUUGUCACAAGUAUUAUAUUGGUUAGUCAAAGAGAGGCAUCGGUUCUAUUCGAUCCAGGCUCUUCUUAUUCUUACGUGUCAUCUUAUUUUACUCCACAUUUGGGUACAACCCAAGAGACCUUGAGCCCAACUAUUUAUGUUUCUUCUCUCGUGGGAGAUUCCCUUGUUGUGAACCGUCUAUAUUGGUCAUGUUUGGUUACUAUUCAUAGUUCUGAGAUCAUGGAAGAUAUUUUAUUACUUGAUAUGGUCGAUUUCGAUAUUAUCUUGGGCAUGAAUUGGUUGUCACCCCAGUAUGCUAUGCUUGAUUGUCACGCUAAGACUGUGAUGCUGGCUAUGCCAGGUAUUCCGCGUAUUGAGUGGAGUGUUACUUUUGAUCACACUCCCUGCAGAGUUAUAUAUUUUCUUAAAGCUCAACGUAUGGUUAAGAAGGGUGUGCUGCGUAUUUGGCUUAUGUGAGAGAUGUUAGUGUUUAUACCCCUUCUGUCAAUUCAAUCCUAGUGGUACGGGAUUAUCCCGAUGUAUUUACAGCUGAUCUUCCGGGCAUGUUACCCGAGCGGGUCAUUGAUUUUGGAAUUGAUUUAUUGUCGGGCACUCAGCCCAUUUCUACUCCUCCGUAUCGUAUGGCUCCUCCUAAAUUAAAGGAGUUGAAGGAUCAGUAACAAGAAUUACUUGAUUGUGAAGAAAAAGGAUGGUUCUAUGCGUAUGUGUAUUAUUGCCAAUUGAAUAAGGCUACAGUAAAGAACAAAUAUCCCUUGCCUCGUGUUGAUGACCUAUUUGAUCAACUUCAGGUCGCACAGAUGUUUUCUAAUUGCACUUGGGAUACUAUCAAUUGAAGAUUCGGGAGCCAGACAUCCCGAAGACUGCUUUCAGGACUCGGUAUGGUCAUUACGAGUUCCUUGUUAUGUCAUUUGGACUGACGAAUGCCCCAACAGCCUUUAUGCAUCUGAUGCACAAUAUGUUCAGGCCAUAUCUUGAUUCGUUUGUGGUUGUUUUCAUAUAUGAUAUUCUGGUAUACUUCCGAAGUGGGGAAGAUCAUGAGCAGCACCUGAGGACAGUACUUCAAACCCUAAGAGAGAAGAAUUAUAUGAAAAAUUUUAAAAAUGCAAGUUUUGGUUGUAUUUUGUGGCUUUCUUGGGUCACGUGGUGUCGAGCGAGGGUAUUCGGGUGGAUCCGAAGAAGAUAGAGGGAGUACAAAGUUUUCCUAGACCCUCCUUAGCUACAGAGAUUCUCAAUUUCCUCGCUUGGCGGGUUAUUGCCGCUGAUCGUAUCCGGGAAUGGCAGUGUGAUGACCCCCAUUUUCUUGUCCUCAAUGACAGGGUUGAGAAUGGUGAUUCCAGGGAUAUGACUAUCCGUGAGGAUGGGGUAUUAAGGAUGCAGGGUCGGGUCUUUGUACCCGAUGUUGAUGAUAUUCGGGAGUUGAUAUUUGCAGAGGCUCAUAGUUCGCGGUAUUCCAUCCAUCCGGGUGCCGCGAAGAUGUAUCAGGAUUUGAGACAACACUAUUGGUAGAGGCAAAUGAAGAAAGACAUAGUAGUAUUCGUAGCUAAAUGCCUCACCUGUCAGCAGGUAAAGGCUAAGCACCAGAGACUGGGUGGGUUACUUCAGCAGAUUGAGAUUCCAGAGUGGAAGUGGGAAAAGAUCGCCAUGGAUUUUGUAGUUGGUAUCCGUAUGAUGACAAAGAAAUUCGAUUCUAUUUGGGUCAUUGUGGAUCGGCUAACCAAGUCCUCUCAUUUCAUACCGGUGUGUACUACUUACUCAGUGGAGCGUUUAGCGGGGAUUUGCUUUAGGGAGAUUGUCCGUCUACACAGAUAACCAGUUACUAUCAUCUCGGACAGGGGUCCUCAGUUUAUAUCACGUUUCUGGAGGGCUGUUCAACAGGAGUUGGGUACUCAGGUGAAGAUGAGUACAACAUUUCACCCACAAACGACGGACAGUCCGAGCGCACCAUUCAUAUUUUUGAGGAUAUGCUCCGUGCGUGCGUGAUUGAGUUUAGAGGGUCUUGGGAUCAGCUCUUGCCAUUGGCAGAAUUUGCUUAUAAUAAUAGUUAUAAAUCUAGCAUUCAGAUGGCCCCCUAUGAGGCUCUUUAUGGUAGGAGGUGCAGAUUUCCGGUGGGUUGGUUUGAGCCGGGUAAAACGAGACUAUUGGGUACAGAUUUAGUUCAGGAUACGUUGGAAAAGGUCAAGUUGAUUCAAGAUCGACUUUGUACAUCCCAGUCCAGAGAGAAGAGAUAUGCGGACCGCAAGGUUCGUGAUGUUUCCUUUAUGGUUGGUGAGCGGGUUCUGCAUCCUGUCUCGCCUAUGAAGGGUGUUAUGAGAUUUGGGAAGAAAGGGAAGUUGAGUCCGAGGUUUAUUGGACCUUUUGAGAUAUUGAACCGUGUUGGAGAAGAUUCUUAUGAGCUUGCCCCACCUCCCAGCUUGGCGGGAGUUCAUCUGGUAUCUCAUGUUUCGAUUCUCCGGAGAUAUUACGGGGACCCGUCGCACGUGUUGGAUUUCAGCUCAGUCAAAAUGGACAUGGAUCUGUCCUAUGUUGAGGAAACAGUGACAAUAUUGGACAGCCAUGUCCGAAAGCUCAGGUCAAAGGAAAUAGCUUAUGUAAUGGUUCAAUGGCAGGGUCAACCGGUCGAGGAGGUGAAUUGGGAGACCUAACGGGAUACGCGCAACCGAUAUCCUCAUCUUUUCAGAACUCCAGGUAUGUUCUUUAUGCUCGUUCGAGGAUGAACGAAUGUUUAUGUGUUGGAGAAUGUAACGACCUGGCUGGUCGUACGUCUUGUUCCCCUAUUAACUGCUUCCUUGUGUUUCAUUAACGGUAUUGGGUGCAUUAGAAUUGAAUUGGAGUGAUUUUUGAUAAGUAAUGCGACACUUAUUCUCUUUUAAGAAGGCUUAAGUUGGAAAACACCAACUAAGCGUUGACUUAUGAGUUAGAGACCUCGGAAUGGAAAUAUGAUGGUUCCAUUAGCUCCGUUAGGUGAUUUCGGGGUUGGGAGCGUGUUCGGAAGGUUUUUUGGAAGUCUGUUGAUCAUUUAGGCUAGAAAUGCCGAAAGCUAGAAUUUUGGCGAUUUUCGGUUGAUAGGUGACAUUUUGAUCAGAGGAUCGGAACGGAGUUCUGGAAGUUUUUGCAGCUUUGUUAGGUGAUUUGGAAAAUGGGCGUAAAAUUUCAAGUCAUUCGGACGUGUUUAGGUCGGUUUUUUGAUGAAAUGCGAGUUUCGGAAGUUUUGGUUGAACCUAGGCUUGCAUCCGUUGAGGAUUGGUUAUUUUUGUGUUGUUGGAUGCAUUUUAUGGUUGGAACAAGUUCAUAAAAUGUUUUAAGAUGGUUUUUCACUUUUUGUUAAGGUCUCGGGGGCCUCAAAAUGAUUUCGGAUGGGUAACGGGAACUUUUGAAGUUGGAAAUUUCAUAAUAGAAGAAAGUUGCAAAUGAGUGCGCACAAGACCUCACGUUGGAUGAUCAUAUAUAUCCCUUUAUUCAUGGAGUUGUGUGAGAUAAACCCUAUCAAAUAAAAGCCCUUUGAGUCUAAAUUCCAACGCAAUAAACCGUUCAUCAUUUAGAGGUGCAUACAGAAAGUUAUGACUAUUUUACUGGGCAUGUGUCGGUAGCACGGGAUUAGCGCGGGCGCGCUAGUAACAUGCCUCUAAAUACACCUAAGUACGGGAAAUGACAUUAUUUGAGUCAUUUCUCAAGCCUAGGGCUUCCCUAACACCCCCAAUUCGACCAAGGCACCCAAUUGCACUCCUAAUGUAAAUUUUUAAGUGUGUUUUCAUGGUGAUUUCACUUCUCAAUCACUAGUUACAACAUGAUUUAAUUUGAUUUCAUAGGAUUUCUUCAAAAUCUCAAGAACAUCCCAAAGUUAACUUUCAAGAUUUUGUCUACAAGAGGUAAUCCUACACCUUAGACUUACACAUAUGGGAUUAAUAUGGAAUUAUGAGUAUGAAUCAGGUAUUACAACUUAUGAUAUGUUGAUUGGAGGCCAUAUAUUUCCAACAAUAUACAUGAACACGGUAGGGAUUUCAAAGUGUUUAUUUGAUGGAAUUUUGUUGGUUGGGUAUGAAUGGAUGGCCAUACAUGCGUAGUUGGAAGUUAUAAAAUUGGUUAGGAAUGAUGGUGAGAUGAAUGGUUGGUAAAUGGUGAUAGUUGGAGGAACCAAUACCAUAGUUAUGAGGUGUAAAUAUCCAUAGCUACAAGGUGUUUGAUAAUAUGCCUAAAUGGCAUAAGUUAUGGAAUUUAUUACCAAUAUUGGCCCUAUUGAAUAUUGUAUUGUAGAUUGAAGUUACAUAACUAUAUUGGAUCAUUGUAGUAUCAUUAAAUGGCGAAUUUCAUAUAUGUAUGGCUAACACCCUGUCUUUUGGAAAUUGAGCUUCGUUGAUAUUCGUGUGAUUUUGUUCAUUUUUACAUAAUAUCACGUAUUAGCUUAGAAUUUAAUUGUAGAAUAAAUUAGUUGAAUUAUUAUUUACAAUAUGCAAUCAAAUUGAAUAGAAUUGGAGUCGGAUACUCGUGGCAAGAGCGUGGUUUUGGGUUGACUUGCACUUGUUUGAGGUAAAUGGCUUGUCUAACUUUGUAUGGGGGACCUCUCCCCUUAGGAUAUCUUGAAUGUUUCUUAAAUGCCUUGUGCGCGAGGUGACGAGCGUGUACUUGUGCUCAUUGUUGAAAAUUCACCUUACUUGACUUAUUUAAACUGCGUUUCCUUCCUUAUUUAACUGUUAUAAAUGCAGUGCUCAUUGUUGAAAAUUCACCUUUCUUGACUUAUUUAAACUGCGUUUCCUUCCUUAUUUAACUGUUAUAAAUGCAAUAUCACUUAUUUCUGCUUAGGGAAAGCAUGCUAGUUAGCUUACUUAUUUUAUUUGACUAAAUUACAAUAUCUGCUCUUUGUGAAGCAUGGUAGACUAUAAUUUCUAUUAGUUGUCAUUGAUUAGAAUUUCUUUUACAUUAAUUGAAUUAUUGUGGUGUGUUUACUAUUUGGGACUACGUGACGUCACCCCGGAAGCUUCCCUUGGUGUGUUAUGUUCUAUGACUGGAUGUGUGGGAUACUAAGAGAUCCCUGACACAUGAUUGAUUGUAAAAUGAGGAUACUAAGAGAUUCUCGGGAUACUUGGAUAUCCCUCGUGAUUAAAUGGAGAAUACUAGGAGAUCCUCGGGAUACCAGGAGAUCCCCGAUGAUAAAUAGCCUGUAGGGAUUGUUCUUUUAUUCAUAUAUUUUACUUGUAAUCUGUUUCCGUCUUACUUAUUAUUUUUCUAGACACUCGAUAUACACUGUACUCAUACGUUCUAUUCAUUUCAUAUUUAUUUUUAUGUUUAUCUCAAUAGGGCCUCGACCUUCCUCGUCACUACCCAACCGAGGUUAGGCUUGGCACUUACUAAGUAGCGUUGUGGUGUACUCAUACCUCUUCUGCGCAUGUUUUUCAUGUGCAGAUCUAGGUACUUCUGAGCAGGCGUACUGCAAGUAGCUGUCAGAAAGCAUAUUGGGGACUUGAGGUAUACAUCUGCUACGUCCGCAGAUCCGCAAAGUCUCCUUCUUAUCCCAUCCAUAAUUAUUAGAUGUUAUUUCGAUCCAUCUUUGUGUUAGAUUAUUCUGGUGACUAGAGCAUUGUAAGAUUUCUUAUAGCCAGUGUUUCCCGUGGGUUUCCGGGUCUUGGAGGUUGUUUCAGUAUUUUGUAUUAAAGUGUAUGUGCCAGGCGGCAAACCUAUACAUUUUCUUAUGUAUUUCGGUAUUCUGAUAUCGUUUUCGUAAAUAUUGUAAAAAUCCCGUAAUGUAUUAGGCUUACCUAGUUUUGAAGACUGGGUGCCGUCAUGACAUGUUUAAAAUUGGUGAACUAGGAUCGUGACACUCGCGGUCCAUAACGGUGGGUCCCAGCCGAACUCAAAUUAUGUGAAUUAGUUCUAUAAAUAGAUAAAGCUAUCUAAGCACACAUAUAAGAUAAAGGAAAUUUAGCAGAUAAGCAGUCUAAAGACACAUAUGAAAAUAAGAUGAGGGAAGUCCUAGGUUUGUUAGCCUAUAGGAUCACAUCUGUAUAAUACCCGAUAAUCCUUCCUGAACUAGAGAGGCUACAUGUGGUAUUAGCGCACAGGUCAUCAAUAUCCUUUUACUCCCCAAUUUCCCUCCCCUUAGUGUUUAUAUAAGCAGUUUUAAUUAGACAAACUCUAUGCGUGCAUUACCUGUCCCUUCCUUGUGGUCUGGUAGGUAUUUAGGACCUCUAAUUCAGGCAAUUCUAGACUCUCCUAAUGUACUUAAAUGAGAAAAAUCUAGGCGACAAUCAAAAUAAUUAGGACUAUCAAGUAAAGAACUAUUAAGGGGCUCAUGUUUACCUCCACAAAUAAACAAACAACAGCACGUCUCAAACAAUAAGAUUUCAGUCAUUUCCAAAGCUCCUAGAGUAGGAUAUCUAGGUGAGCAAAUAGAAUGUAUGAAGCAUCGUGUUAAACUGAGGUGAUAGAGACCUAAUCAGUUUGCCUACUGAUUUUAAAGCUUGUUGAAUCUGGGCCAUUCACAAACGACAAAAGCGUAGUUUUACAGUUUGCAGGAUUUUAGUCGCCUUACAGGCUUGCCUAGGCAUGUAACAGUGAUAUCCUAUAAGCACAGUAUCUAUUCAUUAAUUAAGUAGGCAGUUUGGAUCCUAUAUGCAUGUUGGUAUAUGUGCUGAAUAAUACAUUAUAGAACUGGUUUAUACACACUUAUCUCUAUGACAUAAGUAUUGGGAUUGUUUUUAAACAUUUUUAUAGACAAGAUAGAUAUUGAUUUUGGCAAUGUAGAUAUGGAUUAAGACGAAUACAAAUACAGUCCUUGUCACACCUCCUUUUUCACCUACACCCCCAAGGACGCAAAAGGGAGUUUUCCAUUUAAAUGACAAUCGGAACGGGAUUUAGUUAUUAAUUAUUCAAAGUUGGCACUUGGAAGAUUAAUGGUAUCCCAAGUCACCAGUUGAAUCCCGAACCGAGGAAAAAUAUGACUCUGUUAUAGUCAGCGAACCAAAAAUUUGAGUAAGGAAUUCUGUCAACCUGGGAGAAGGUGUUAGGCAUUCCCGGGUUCCGUGGUUCUAGCAUGGUCACUUAACUGUUGCAUUUGAUUUUAUCUGAUUUUAGUAUAUGCUAGCUUAUGUGCCUUUUAUUCGUAAAUCACUUUUUAUCAUUGUUUAUUUUAAACAAAUUUCGAUGUUGUGAAAACAUUUUUCGAACCACGUCGCAAUCAAUGCACCCGUGGUGGUCAACACAUUUCGACUUCGUCGAGAUUUGGAUUUGGGUCGCAUCAAUGCGCACCCGAGUUUAAGGAAGUAGUUUAAUUAAAUCGCGCCUAAAGAUUCUAACGUAAUAAUAUAAUAUUAUUUUGGGGGAAGGCCGUGAAGCUCGCUAAAUGGCUCUCCAAAUUUUAAUCAUUUUUAAUAACCAUUUAUUGAGGGCCCCACAUUUGUUUACUUUGUUCGGUGAGGCUCAUCUUAUUUUAUGAACCUUUUUUCGAUCAUUAUUUAUUUUAUAAGAAUUACGACGUCGUGAAAACGCGUUUUGAACCACGUCGCAAUCAAUGCACCCGUGAUUGUCAACACAUGUCAACUUUGUCGAGAUUUUGAUUUGGGUGGCAUCAAUCCACACCCGAGUUUAAGAAAGUAACUCUAUUAGAAUUGCAUCUAAAAGAGUCUAAUGCGUUAUUAUCUUUUGGGAGGGUCGUGAAAUUCGCUAAGCGACCCUUCCCUAAUUUUCUAAAUAUUUCAAGCCUUUAUUCAGGGCCCUUCGUUUUGUAUUUUUUUUUGGGAGAGCUCGUCUCAUUUAAUUUUAAAGAUCCACUCUAAAGUAAACUAUGAUUUUUCUAAAUUAUUUGUCUCUAGUAAAAAUCCUAAUUAAUCAAUAUUGUUUAAGAGUUACUUUAUUCGGGUCUAUGGACACAUAAAUUCAAAUCCUUAAUCACGACCCAUAUGAGGAGUCAAUACCCCAGUAACGCGAAAGGGGAAGCUAAACACCAUCAUAGGCUUAGAUCUACUCCACAUUUAAAAUAUUUUGAAACUCUUAACAGGCCAUCACCCACCCUAAAACCACUUAUCAAGCCCAAACUCACUUGAAAUCAACCAAACAUCACCUCUAGAACUUCAAAAUUAGCAGAAACUAAACUAGAGAGAUGUAGAUUAAUAGCUAAAGCUGAGAUCCAUCUAGCAUUUGAUGAAACAAUAACUUUUUUUUUGGGGUUUCUACUAUUUUUUGUUGUUUUUGGGUUUUUGUUUUUAAAACUAUGAACUAGAAGGAGAUUGUGAUAUGAGAUUUUAAAUUUUCAGAUUUGGAAACCCGAAGAAUAUUUUUUGGGGGAAUUUGAGGGCUCCAAAACUUCUUUUUCAAGGUAGAGGUGACUGCCUUAUAUUGGUCAACUAAUGGGCAGCCCUCAGGUUUUUAUUUUCAUUCCAGUCCUUACUUAGUUUUCAACUUACAUCCCUCAUUUCUAAUGAAAUACACCCUCACAACCUAGAAGCUUCUAGGAAAUUCUUAGCUAGAUUUGUUUUCCCAAAUUAUCCCAAUUGCCCUUAAUUUAUCCCAAAAUUACUAAAAUAGAACAGUUAUAUCUAAAAGAGUCCUAGGGUCUGAACUUUCAAUUAUGAAAUAUAAUCCUAUCUACUGGGGCCAAUUAAUAGAAACAAUCAUCAACUAAAUACAGACUUAACCAAAUAACAUUCAAACAUAAAUUUAAUUAACAGAAUUACAACUAAAAUUAAGAAUUAUGAUUCGAACAACCAAAUUGAAAUAAACCUAAUGAAUAACUAAUUACUCAACUAGACUAACAUGAAUAAAAAACACUUGAAAAUUCACUGACUCACAUUUUAAACGACUUAACAAACUAAAAAAAUCAGGACUCAAAUAAAACGACUAAGCAAGAAGACUAUCGAGCAAAACUAGUAAAGAAAUACAAAAUAAAAGAAAAGUAAAAACUUACCGAUAAAAGAAAACUCAGGCUAGUCGUCAUUAUUUCCAAACUCGGCCAUUGCUGGGGUCAUUUGAGCUCUAUUGAUGGCCAAGUCUUUACUAGGGAGGCCCAAGGACCCUAUGACGUCAAGUGCAUGCGUUUUGGGCGUUUUAGGGUUUUUGUCGAAAAACCAAAAAUUGACAUUUGAGCAUUUCUGGCCACAUUCGAGGGACGAGGCUAAGGGGGUUGGGUAGAGGGGUCUCAGGCGAACCUAGGGUGUUAAUUUGGGGUAGGUUUCAUCGUGCCCGUAAAAUUUUCAAUCGAUUAUUCGACGAGAUGGGGGAAUAUUCGAGGGAUGACAACACCGGGAACGGGAAGGGGAGGGCAAGGUGAAUCAAUGGUAUUAAUUUGGUUGUCAAUAACGUAGGUUUUAUUCACCGGCGGCGAGGAAUCUGGCGAGGUCUAAGAGAUACGAGGAAGAAGAACGGUUGUCUCUGAUUUUGUGAAGAGACUCCCACCAUUUUAUUAGGUGGACAAGAUUUAUCUUCAACUGUUGGAUCAGGAAAAAUUAAAGGCUGAGACUGACAGGGGAAAAACAACGUCGUUUUGAGAGUGGGGUCUUGGACCGGGUAAUGGGGUGAUUUGUGCCUGGGUCCGAAUAGGUUUUCUUGUUUUGGGCUCAACCAAUUUGCCUAAUAUUUGGGUCUCAGCCCUUUUUUCUAUUUAUUCCUUUUUGUUUCUUUUCCAUUCUUUUAUUUACUUGUUUUUCUCUCUUUAUUUUUCUUUUUCCUCAUUUUGUAAUUUUUAUAUUUUUGUUAAAAACAAAUAAAACUCAUAGCCCAAAUUAACACCAAAAUUACUAACUAUUAUUCCAAAAUUAACUAAUUUCUCUUUUUAAGCUAAAAUUUUAAAAAAAUUCCACAAAAUAAAAAUAAAGUUGUACAAAGUUAUUUUUUUCAUUUCCUUCAUAUGAGAACAAUGUUAAACUAACAAUUAACUCUAAAAAUAUGAAAUUAACUCCUACACAAAUUCCACAUAUAUUUUGUAUUUUUUGUAUGAAUGCAAAUGCACAAAUAAAAUGCAAUAAUUACAAGAAAAUGACACAAAAUUCAAAAAAUUGUAAAAAUAAGGAAAACUCUUUUUGUUUGAAUUUUUGGGAAUAAUUCAUAUAUAGGAAAAAAAUCACAUGAUCAUAGAUGCCACUCUUUUCUCGAAAACAUGAAGAGUUUUUGUUCAAAGUCAUGUGAGCAAAUAGGAGCGAUUUUUGCCUGUUCAAAUAUUCCGUUGUGAAGCAUUUUGAAAAAUUUGGCGCCACCCUGCUUCAUAGGUUGCCUACAUAUCCUGGGCUAAACAGGAAUCAGGUCAGUGUAAUUCGGGAGUGUCUGGUAGCUGGGACUACCAGGAGCUGUGAUUUCACUGCGUUUGCUGCUUCUACUACUUGCUGACCUUCUUUAUUACACCGUAUCAAAAAUAAAUGAAGCUAGCCUAAGCUAUGAACUACGAAUAACAAAAAUCCUAUCUAAAUUCUUCAAACUUGUUCUUGUACUUCCUUGUUGCCUAGUUGUCUUGUAUUUCCUUGUUGCCUCAUUGUCUUGUGUUUUCUCGGUAAAAUCCCUUGUUGUUACUUCAACUUGCUAACUAUGAUGUUGUUCCUUCUCCCCAAAUUACUGAACUUGAAUAAACUUGAACUUGAAUGUAUUACUCUGUUAUCCAGGUGGGCUCCUGACUCCAAAAAGACGAAACAAAGAAAACUUUCUGCCCCAGUUUGUAAAACUGGAUGCUUGUUACUAGAUAUUAUCAAAAAUUGAAAACUAAAACUUGAACACUUGCUGCUGGUACUGCUUGCUGACCUCCCUUAUUACACCAAGUCAAAGAUAAAAAGAAGCUAAACUAGCUACGUUCUAUGAAUUACAAAAGUCCUAUCUAGAUUCUUCAAACUUGCUCUUCUACUUCCUUGUUGCCUUGUUGUCUUGUGUUUUCUUGUUGCCUCAGUGUCUUGUUUUUUCUCGGUAAAAUCCCUUGUUGUUACUUCAACUGAUCAACUGAGAUGUUGUUCCUUCUAUCCAAAUUGCUGAACUUGAAUAAACUUGAACUUGAAUUUAUUCCUUUGUUCUUCAGGCGGGCUCCUGACUUCUGAAUUUUGAAUUUGAAUGUAUUCUUCUAUUAUCCAGACGGGCUCCUGACUUCACAAAAACAUAUAAAACAAAGAAAACUUUCUGCCCCAGUUUGAAAAACUGGGUGCUUGUUACCACAUACUAAUAAGAACUAAAGCUUGAAUUGUGAUAAGACUGAAAUCCAACUUUAAAAAUUUAAAGACUGAAAUGUAUCUUAAAAUUUAAAAUUUAUCUUAGGUGAAAAAUUCAUCAGACUAAGAUUUUCAUCUUAGGUGAAAGAUUCAACAGACUAAGAUUCUUAUCUUUUAUCAUAGGUAAAAAAUUAACUAGCCUAAGAUUUUCAUCUUAGGUGAAAGAUUCAACAAACUAAGAUUCUUAUCAUUUAUCUUAGGUGAAAAUUCAUCAGACUAAGAUUUUCAUCUUAGGUAAAAUAUUCAACAGACCAAGAUUUUGACUCUAGGAGAUAACUCACCAGACUAGGUCCAUUUUCGUGUGAUCUCAGGAGGAAGAUUCAUCGGGCUCAGAUUUUGACUCUAGGAGAUAAUUCAUUAGACUAGGUCCAUUUUUCGAAUCCAGACUUUCUUAAUCUUUCAAAUUCGAACAUUCAUUCCAUUCUUUUUUAAAUUUGCCUUCCUUUCUUUUUCCCAAAUUAUGCCCUUCUUUCUUUUUCCCCAAAUUAUGCCUUUCUUUAUUUUCCCAAAUUAUGCCUUCCUUUCUUUUCCCAAAUUAUGCCUUCCUUUUUUUUCCAACUUCUGCCUUUAUCUUAGGUGAAAGAUUCAACAGACUAAGAUUUCUUUAUCUUAGGUGAAAAAUUUAACAGACUAAGAUUUUUAUCUUAGGUGAAAGAUUCAACAGACUAAGAUUUUUAUCUUAAGUGAAAAAUUCAACAUACUAAGAUUCUUCUUCUUAGGUGAAAAAUUCAUCAGACUAAGAUUUUUAUUGUAACCAUUUUCCUCCGAAACUUGUUUUACCUACCUUCUAACUUGAAUUAUCUUCCUUCAGAAUUGCUUCCCCAAAAAUUGGUGUUGUCCUCCUUAAAAAAACCAUUUCCCAAAAAACUAGUGUUUUAUUCCUCCAAAAAUUAUUUUCUUAAAACUGGUGUUUCUUUCCUGAAAACUACUUCCUUAUCUUUUUUCUCUUUUUUUUUAAAAACAAUUAUAUUGACCUUUAUGUUCUUCAUAUGUGUACCCGAAUUCAAGAAAAUUUUCAACACGACAGAGAAUUUUCUGCCCCAGUUUGAUAAUCCUCAUGUAGCAUAUUUUUUCGCCAUCAAUGAUAUUUCCGUGCCCCUAUUUCAAAUCGGAGAAAAUUCUGCCAGUUUAAAGUGCGGUGAUUGGUUGUGGUACUUCUGCCGGGAUGGCUUUCCUUUUCUCCUUUCUAUGCUCCGUGUUAUCCGACCAUCUUUGAAAACUUGGCUGAUAACUUCCUCCCUUCUUGACAAAUACCUCUCAAUUAUUACUUCUAGUCUUCUUCUCCGACCCCAUAUGUUUUAUAUGACAACUGAUUCUUCUUGAAGAUCUUGCAUGUUUACUAAUUAACCACUUCCCCCGUCAUCUGUGUCACGGAAAUACCCUUUUUCCCCGUUCAGGUCCAAUAUCUUUUUUUGGGUCGUUGCUCGUGAACUAGCAUAUUCCUGACCUUUGAGGCUUACAUAAAUUUCCAAAUUACGUCCAUUGCCCCCACAAUAUGUUGUUGCUUCUUAAAUCACAACCCUUAGCCCCUUGACCCUGAAGUCUAUUGCUCAUUCGCUUGACCCUUGUCACAGAAAAUAUCUAUUCUUCGUUCAAACCUAAUACCCUCCAUCUGUUGCAUUACUCCCGAACCGGCAUCUACCAAACUUUGUGUUUCACCAGGAUCCCAAAGCAUGUUCAUUAUUACCAGCUCAAUGAUCUUGUUGUUGUUCUUUCCUUGUGACACUUUGAUAUUCUAUCUAAACCCCAUUUUUGCAUUCGGAAAGCUGGUGGUAAAUUUUGAAGUCAUUUCUCAAUUGUUAUAACCGACAGACUCAGAAAGAAGAAGUGAACAAACAGAAGAACAAAGUGAAGGACAAAGUAAAGAGAUAAUUUCUAAAGAAGACACUACGAAGUAGAAACCUAUCAAAUGUGGAUACCAACUCUAACGACCAUGACAUGCACAUGUAGAUAUUCUGCCAAUCAAACCUGAUGUUCAGCUCUUGUUGUACCUUUUCACCGUGAAACUGGGCUUCGGUGCUCCUCUUGUCCAAUCUGAUUUACAUUCCUUAUUCGGCUUGUAGUACCCGAAGGGUUUUCACCAUCAAGCCUCUCUCUUUUUUCUUUCUUCCCACUUACUUUCGCCUUAAGGUGCCUGUGAAGGUUUUUACCAAUAAGACUCUCUCAUUUUUAUUUUGCUCAACUUCCAUCGCCUUGCGGUACCCGUGAAGGUUUUCAUCAAUCCGGCUUUCUAUUUUUCUUUCUUGGACUGGAGUGUUGCCCCUGACAUAAAUUAUCCUUACCUGCUUGGCUUGACAUUUCUCAAAGACUGAUCGGAAGGUCUUUCUUUGGACCGUGAUGUGUCUUUUGGAAGGGGUUAGAAAAGAAAGGUAUAAAAGGCUCAAAACAAUUCAAAUUGGGUUAACACUACAACUUUCGGAAUACGAUUUCUUUCAACAAUCACAACUUCUGCCCCAGUUUCUUUCUUGGGGACUUUUGGAAUUUUUAUUUUGGUAUGAGUGAACCUGAGAGAGGCUUCCUACGUACCCUUUCGGGAUCUAGUCAAACGUAGUUCAUGUCAUUGAAACUACGUUCUUGUGAUUUUCUUUCUCUUCUUUUCUUUCUGUUUUUCUUGCUUUUUCCUUUCUUUUCUUCAUUUUACAUUUCUUUCUCUUUCUUUUCUUUUCUUUACUUUUUUUCCCUUUCCAUUUCUUUCUUUCUUUCUCAUUUUCUCUUCUUCUUUUUUCUUCUUCUUUUUCCUUCCCUUCUUUUUCUUUUUCCUUCUUUUUUAUUUGCUUAUCUCCGGCACUUGCAUUUCUUUGAUUGUGCCGUUGAUUCCAAAAGAGGGGUAUGAAUGAAAAAAAAUAAGGCUCAAAGAGGGUGGCAAAAGGGUAAAGUAUUUAGAUAGCACAACAAAACGCCACCGUCAUUUCAAACUUCAAAAUAUGCCAAAUGCAAACAAGUACAUCAGAAUAAAGAAACCAUACACUUCACUUCUUGACCGAUCAGAAUUGACGGCCAUUUCCACAUAUUUUCCUUCUACAUAUGUAAGAUAUAUUGUGCCGUUGGGCAACACUCUUACUCUUAUUACCACGACCGACCCGCUGUCAAUUUGUCCAACUUGUUCUUUUUUACCCAGUUUCACAUGGUUCGAGCGUCAAACAAUCUCAAACAUCCAAAUAUGUUCUCAUUUCCCAAGUGCCCCAAUCGUUUUCAAAAUGGUUUUGUUGCUUCCUGACUAACAUAGCUUUUGAAGAUUCGACUGAGAAUUAUACGUGCAAGUCAUGUCACUAGAAUCAGCAUUAGACAAAAGAAAAAACAAAAGGAUCGAAAAGAACUAAACAAAGAAAAAUGAUUGGAAGUAACAAAAGAUCGGAAUUUGCAUUAGACAAUGAUGAAAUAACUCGAAUAACAAAACAAGCAAACAAACUGGAGUACAACCCUGGAACGAACCUGAAACACACAUGGACAACCCUAAACGAACCACUACGACUAAACAAGCUAGACAAAAAUGAAAGGAUAAGAGGGUUUGAUCAUAAGACAAUGAAAUAACUCGAAAAACAAAAUAAGCAAACAAAAUGGAGUACAACCCUAGAAUGAACCUGAAACAAGCAUGGACAACACUAAACGAACCACGACGACUAAACAAGCUAUAAAAAAUGAAAGGAUAAGAGGGUUUGAUCACAAGACGAUAUUCGGAUUACAACCCUGCAAAUAACUCGGACAAUAGAAAUGACAGCAAAACGGACCACCAAAGCUCCUCCCCAGCUGACUCAGGAAAGAGCGUCUUCUCAAUUACCAUGCACGGUGUCUUAGCCACUGAAUUUUGCGUCAACAAUACUAAGAACUUCAAAUGACUUUUCCAGGUAAAUCAUAUCUGCCAUGUGCGUCUCAUUUUGUACAGGCGAUGAACUUUGGCUGGUGUCAACUGCAUCAAGAUUUGGCACGACAAUAUCGCAUGCAUCAAUAAACUCCCGAAUUACUUUCUUCAGCCUCCAACACUUUUUUGUGUCAUGCCCCGGGGCAUUUGAGCAAUAUGCACACCUUUGGGUAAAAUCCAACUCCUUUAAAAGAUGGUUUGGUAUUUUAAUCUGAAUAGGAUUCAUCACGCCAGAAGUCCUUAGCCUCUAAAACAGAUUGGCGUAUGACUCUCCCAAGGGAGUGUAGGCUUUCUUUUUCCGCAACCUCUCAUUCUUAAAUGCCUGAUUUGGUUGGAAACCUAAUCUAAGGACGUUGCGUUGGGGAGGGUCACCUGGUGCACAAGAAUACCAGUGGGGCUUAGCAAGAACAGUCACUGGACUCUGUCGACGGUGGAAAGAAUGACCUGGUGGUUGGACAUAUGGUCGGAUGUUGUUUGGAAGAUAGUACUGAGGUGGCUUAUAUGUAGUUUGGGGACGUUCACGGGGUCGGUAUUGAGGCUAAAAGCAUUUACAAAAAAUGACCACCAGGCCCUGUCAUUGGCAGAGGGAGUGACCUAGUGUUUGGAUACCUGACCGGCCAUUGUCUGGAGGAUAAUGCUGAGGUAGUUUAUGUGAGGCUCGGGGACAAGUUUGGGAUUGGAGUUGAGGAUGAAGACGCUUGGCAGGAACGACCACUGGGAUCUGUCAUUGGCGUGGAUCAACAAUAUCUUUUUCAUCAGUGGAAGGAGUAUCCUUAGCAACUUUUUCGUUCCAUCUGACCCAAAUUUCCCUAAAACUUUCCUUGGGUUUCGUUUCCGUCUGAUAUGGGGAGGAGUGAUUUGGGAAAAUGUCUCUGUUGUACUGAAAAUUUCGCACAAAAUCUUGAGCCAUGUCCCCAACGUGUGCCACUUCCCAACAUCUUGACGUUCAUGCCAUUCCAUGGCUGCCCCAGUCAGGCUCUCACUGAAAUGCGACAUCAACAACUCAUCUUCCUUGCCUACAUUCAUCGUUUGAUUGCAAUAAUCCCUCAAGUGGGCUACUGGAUCUCCCCGUCCAUCAUACAAAUUAAACUUCGGCAUCUUAAACCCUUCCAAAUUUCGGGAUAUCUCAUCCCGCUCCAAUAUUUUAGCAAGCUUCGUAGUCUCACUGGAAGACUCAAAAUGAAGAGCGUGAUGGUAUGGACUCGAUACCUUGGCGAUUGGUUCUGGUGCAUAAUAUUGGCAUCGGGGACUGAUGGCGGAGGAUACCCACUGGUCCAAGCUUUGUGCAUUCCGACUAUCUGUCUUUUCAAGUUCAAAACCUCUUCUUUCAACUCACAUUCUGAUUCAACAAUGCCCCUAGACGGAUCAAUUAUACUUGUGUUCAACCCUUUGCCAUCCAUGACUGCCUUGCUUUUCGACCUUGUAUUGUAUGGAUGAGGUACCCAAACCAACCACCUCAACUUUCUUCACAAUUCUAAACAAAAUAUGUUAGAAUGGAGUCGGUCCUCAUUAUUAACAUCUUUUCCAUUUUUUCAAUUUCUUUUCCAUUUUUCAUUCUUUUUUUGGUUGUGGUCAAAUAUUAUGGAGAUUGCGUACGUAUCAUGACCCCGCAUGAAUCAGACCGUGCAUUGUUUGUACAGAUAAAAGGUAAACAACAAUAAAAUAUUUUUGGAAUUUUCCAUUUUCAUAAUAACAACAAAACUGACUAACUUAACGAUGAAAUACAGACUUGAAAAUCAAACGACCCAUAUACUCAAAUAAAAAGAAAUACAAAUCCAAAAACAAAAUGACAUAUUCUUUCCCCUAUAUACCAAUUUUGACCCAAAAUCCGAGCGAUAUUCACUUGACCACUGACUCUUUUUUUUAAAUUAAAAUAAAUGACCCGGUAUUGCAAACAUGGCCUUCCAGUGCCUCGGGGACGAAGAUUAAGGUUGAGAGGGUGAAAAAUCAAAAUAUGACCAAAUGUGGCUAUUUAUACAAAGUCAGCCUUCUGGCGCCCCUUUUGGGACAUUUGGCUAUUUUUGACAAAAACGACAUCACUUGGUUCAUUUAUGACAAAAAUUAAAAUUUUGACAUUUUUUGGGCUAUUUUUGUAAAGGGGAGGUUGGACCCGAUGAGGGUUGCCUACGUAUCUCACAUACGGUGAGAAUCAAACAUGUGUAGUUCGGGCAAAUUAAACGAACUAUUUUAAAACAAGACUCUUUUUCAUUUUCAUUUUUGGCAUUUCAUAAGCAAAUAACAAAAUAACCUUCAAAAGCACGACUCUUUACAUUUUUAUUUUUGGCAUUUCAUAAACAAAUAAAAUAAUAAAAAAUUAUUUUAUUUGUUUUUGUUUUAUAAAAAACAACUCUUUUUUAUUUUCAUUUUUCAUGACAAGACAAACUAUUUUCCUUUUUUAUUUUUUGAAAACAAGACAAAAUGACGAAUCUUUUUUUUUCCCUUUUUUUCAUUUUCUACAAAAAAUUAAACAACCUAUUUUUUCCAAACUAAAAACAAAUACUAUUUUUCUUUUCAAUAAACAAUAAAUCAACCUAUUUUUUCCAAACUAAAAUAAAGACUCUUUUUUAUUUUCUUUUUCAACAAACAACUUUCCAAAAAUAAAAGACUCUUUUUCAUGUUUUCUUUUUUUUAUUUUCUCAAAAUUUCGGCAGAGUUUCGUCAGUUCUUGGUCAUUGGUUUUUCUAAAAUAAUCAAUUAACUCCCUAAGUGUUAUUUCUCUCUUUUUCUCUUUUCUCUUUUCUCUUUUUUUCCCUCAAAUUUUCAACAUUCCCGAGAUUCAGAAACCGAUACACAUGCAGGUUUGAAACAAAUAUAUGUACAUAGAAAGUAGGAUGCAUCAGGAUGGUCUUUUUCAUUUCAGGUUGCUAGCCCUAGAAGGACCCAACUCUUGUGUUGAGUCCCCUAAGUCAAAUGCAGCAUGAUGCAAAUAAGUGCUCCUACUAGAGAUCCGGAAUGAAGUCAUGUUAUUCUAGGUUCAAAACCUGGGUCAGUGUUCUAGAAUGUGUACCCGAGCAGACAACUUGAGUUGAGGAGGGGGAAACUUUCUGGGAACCAAAAGGCCAUCUGACUUAGUAACUUGUCCGAGCCUCUUUCUUAUUUUAGGGUAUGACACUAAUAGAAUAUGGAGUCUCAACCAGUAAGCACAUCCCCGGAGGUAUAGAGAGAAGGGUGUCGGCAUAAUUUAUAUACAGUUCAGAUAAUAUCAAAGCGGUAACAUUUAGCACAUUCAACACAAAACAUGUAGGAAAAUCUGAUAUAACCAGAUACAACAAUUUAUCUAAGAUCGAAUUCUGAAGCCUGAACAAAACGUUCUAGGUUCUUCUCCCCAGCAGAGUCGCCAGAGCUGUCACACCUCCUUUUUCACCAACACCCCAAGGGCGCAAAAUGAGUUUUUCCACCGAAAGGACAAUCAGAAUGGGAUUUAGUUAUUAAUUAUUCAGAGUCGCCACUUGGGAGAUUAAUGGUGUCCCAAGUCACCGAUUGAAUCUCGAACCAAGGAAAAAUAUGACUAUGUUACAGUCCGCGAAUCAGAAAUCCGAGUAAGGAAUUCUGUUAACCCGAGAGAAGGUGUUAGGCAUUCCCGCGUUUCGUAGUUCUAGCACGGUCUCUUAACUGUUACAUUUGAUUUUAUCUAAUUUUAAUACAUGCUAGCUUAUAUGACUUUUAUUCGUAAACCGCUUUUUAUGAUUGUUUAUUAAAAAAGAAUUACGACGUUGUGAAAAUGCGUUUCGAACCACAUCGCAGUCAAUGCACCCGUGGUGGUCAACACAUUUCAAAUUCGUCGAGAUUUGGAUUUGGGUCGCAUCAAUGCGCACCUGAGUUGAAGGAAGUAAUUUAAUUAAAUUGCGCCUAAAGAUUCUAACGUAAUACUAUUUUAGGGGAAGACAGUGAAGUUCGCUAAACGGCCCUCAAAAUUCUAAUCAUUUUUAAUAACCAUUAUUGAGAGCCCCACAUUUAUUUACUUUGUUCGGUGAGGCUCGUCUCAUUUUAUGAACCUUUUUUCGAUCAUUAUUUAUUUUAUAAGAAUUACGACGUCGUGAAAAUGCGUUUCGAACCACGUCGCAAUCAAUGCACCCGUGAUUGUCAACAUAUAUCGACUUUGUCGAGAUUUGGAUUUGGGUCGCAUCAAUGCGCACCCUAGUUUAAGCAAGUAACUUUAUUAGAAUCGCGUCUAAAAGAGUCUAACGCGUUAUUAUCUUUUGGGAGGGUCGUGAAAUUUGCUAAACGAUCCUUCCCUAAUUUUCUAAAUAUUUCAAACCUUUAUUGAGGGCCCCACAUUUUGUGUUUUCUUGGCGAGGCUCGUCUUAUUUUAUUUUAAAGAUCCACUCUAAAGUAAACUAUGAUUUUUCUAAAUUAUUUGUCUCUAAUAAAAGUCCUAAUUAAUCAAUAUUGUUUAAGAGUUACUUUAUUCAGGUCUAUGGACACAUAAAUUCAAAUCCUUAAUCGCGACCCAUAUGAAGAGUCAAUACCCAAUAAUGCAAAAGAGGUAGCCAAACACCAUCCUGGGCUUAGAUCCACUCGGAGGCACAUUUAAAAUGAGAUUUGGGCCGUCUGUGAUAGUGCUGGUCCAAACUAUCCAGAAAUCAAUUCCUUUUGAACAAUCAUCUCUGAGAUCACUCCAGGUUAUUCCAACGUGCUCAACAAUUUGUAGACAAGGAAAAACGAUAUGCCUCGUUCAAUAUAAUGAAACAUUGACACUAAUUAGCUACUGGUGAGUUCAUUUGAUUACUAAAAAUGUGGACCCGAUUUUUUUCAACACAAAGCAGUCUAACUAUUUUUAAGUUAGCUCAAGCUAGAUAGGCUGGAUCUAUUUCACAUUAUUAUUGAACCUCGAAAUCAUGUGAACGUCUGUUUCAACCUUUACUUUUUUUAAUUAAAUCUUCGAAGCGUUAGGCAAUUAUGUAUCAUGACAAUCACAUUCAUACUAUGAAAACGUUACCAAUCAUGUGUUCUACUACUCAUACAAAUCUGAAGCUAUUCACAAAUCGUCUAUUAACCUAUCGUGUGACUAGUUACUACCAAUGUUCAAUUUAUCAGUGAAAUAUAGCAAUUUAUGCAAUCCUGUUCUGCAGUCCAAUCUUACAAGACAAAAAUGCAAAUCUAAUGGAAAGCUAAAUAGGUACAAAUCAUUCUGAUAUCUACGACAUUAUAGUAGCCUGUUUCAGGAAGAACAAUUCACUUCAGAUUUUCAACUCAACAAUUACAGCAGGUUAGUCUCACGUGUGUACCUGGAAAUGCAAAAUGUAAGAAUAGUAAAGAGGAGGUCAGCAGCCACCAAUAUAACAGCAGAUUAGCAGUAGCAAGCAAACUCAGAGAAACAAACCAACAACCCAGGAAAGUUUCCAAGUGCAGUAAUUGAUCAGUUAACUCAGCAAAUUCAUAAGCAAGUUUUAAAAUCCAAAGAUAGAUCAAUCACAACAAUAAAUCCACCACUGAAGCACCCAAGCAGACUCGAACUCGAAUUCAAAAUAUUUUGAAACUCCUAACAGGCCAUCACCCGACCUAAAACCACUUAUCUAGCCCAAACUCACUUGAAAUGAACCAAAUAUCACCUCUGGAACUUCAAAUUAGCAAAAACUAAACUACAGAUAUUUAGAUCAAUAGCUAAAGCUAUCCACCUAGCAUUUGAUGAAACAGUAACGUUUUUUUUGGUUUUCUAUUAUUUUUUGUUGUUUUUGGGGUUUUAAUGUUAAAAAUAAGAACUAGAAGGAGAUUGUGAUAUGAGAUUUUAAAUUUCAGAUCUGGAUACUUGAAGAAUAUUUUUUGGGGGAUUUUGAGGGCUCCAAAACUUCUUUUUCAAGGCAUAGGUGACUUCCUUAUAUAAGCCAACUAAUGGGCAACCCUCAGAUUUUUGUUUUCAUUCUAGUCUCUACUUAGUUUUUGUCACGACCCAAAUUUCCCCACCAUGGGGGUUGUGAUGGCGCCUACUGUCGGAGCUAGGUAAGCCAACCCUUCUAAUCAUUUCACCAGCUUACAAACAAAUAUAUAAAAAUGAGCGAAAGACUUUUAAUAAAACAAUAGCAAAGUGCGGAUGUUUAUAACAUGUCUCUACCCAGUAUCUGGUGUCACUACUCACGGACUACUAAAGGAGUACUAAAAACAACAGUCCGAAAGAAAAUAUACAAGUGUCUAUUUGGAUACAAAUGAACAAAUGGAAAUGAAACCGAUUAUACUCAAGGACCGCGAACGCCAGCGAACUACCUAGGAGUCUCUGGACUGAAGGCGUGCUCCCAAGCUACUGCUGCGGUCCGUAGGCUGUCUCCUGACCUGUGCACAAAAUGGCACAGAGGUGUAGCAUCAGCACAACCGACUCCAUGUGCUGGUAAGUGCUUGGCCUAACCCCGACGAGGUAGUGAUGAGGCUAGACAGGACCUACCACAAGUGACCUGUACAGAUAUAUGCAAUAACAAGAGAAUACACUAUUCUAAACAGUUAAAAGGGAGGGAAACAUGUUGUGGGGUACAACAGUUCAAAUACAGAGAUCAACUAAUAGAAGGAAACUGAGCGGAUAACAACUACCAAAGAAAUACCAGAAAGUUCAACACACAGAGCAAUAUCCACGUUCAUAUUCCCGCUGCGGCGUGCAACCCAAUCCUCAACAUUUAAUACCGUUGCGGCGUGCAUCGGCUAUCCUCGACAAUUAAUCCAUUGCAGCGUGCAACCCGAUCCUCAAAAUCUAGUAUUGUUGCGGAGUGCAACCCGCUCCUCAUUAUUUACCAACAAGACUCACCCAAAAUCAUUCGCAACUCAAGUGCGAGGGGAGUAACAUCAUAAUACCAAGUGUCCAGACAAGGGAAUGCAACUAACAGCCCAAAUAUCCCGACAAGCCCGACAAGGGAGAAUUCAAAAUAUAUUUAAGUCCCGGCAAGGGACAUGAUCACAGAAUUUCCACUCAUAAACAUGUUAUCUACCAACAAGUGCUAAGUCGAGCCAAUGCUCCAAAAUUACACGAAAUCAUUAUGUAUCCUCAACCGUUCAUAUCAUGUGAACCAAAUCAAUUCCAACAAGUAUUUAUGUCAUACCACUCGAAAUAACGCAAUUUAAGACCCACGGUCAUGCUAGACUCGGGUGCAUAGAGAACCGUCACCAUGCCUAUGCACCGACUCCACAUAGCACAUAACAAAUAACAUCCUAAUCCUAUUGCCUCAAGCCAAAGUUAGAUCAACACUUACCUCAAAAGCUCCAAACUCAACUCAUGCCUCUAGGAUAGCUUUGCCCCUCGAAUUCGCUACAAAACCGGUCAAAUCUAAUCACAAUUUGCUCAAAUAUAUCAACAAAUGCUAGUUAAAACAAUUUGAAUACAUAAGAAUGAAUUUCCCAAGGUUAUACCCAAUAAUUCCCAAAAUACCCUCAGUCCCACGUGGUCUAAACCCAAGGUUCGAACCAAAACCGGGUUACGCGUUCCCGCAUGAGUUCAUAUCUAUGAUUUGUUUUGAAAUCGGACCCCAAAUUGAGGUCCAAAUCCCUAAUAUAAAGAAAACCGAGGUUCUAUCCCAAAUCCCCAUUUUUACCCAUUGAAAGCUUUGAUUUAAAGAUGAAAUCAUGAUAAAAGAUGUUAAAGUUAGAAGAAAUUGAGUAAAAGUUGACUUACAAUUGAUUUGAGAGAAGGAGUCGAGAGAAAAUCGCUAAUGGAGGUUUGGGUUUUGAAAUAUGAAAAAUGAGGUUUGAAAUCGUCUAAAUAUAGGAUGCACGGUCGCAGAUGUCGCAAUUGCAAAGUUUUGUUCGCAAUUGCGAAGAAUGCAGAAGGAAUAGCGGAUGUCACAAUUGUGAGAAGAGAAAUUGAGUAAAAAUUGACUUAUAAUUGAUUUGGAAAGAAAGAGUUGAGAGAAAAUCGCCAGUGGAAAUUUGGGUUUUGAAAAUAUGAAAAGUGAGCUUCAAAAUCGGCAAGUGUAAAAUAUACAGGUGCAGAUCUCGAAAUUGCGAGAAUAUGUUCGCAAUUGCGAACUAUGUAGAAGAAAGGGCGGAUAUCGAAUUUGCAAGCAAAUUGUUCGCAAUUGCGAACAAGGCAGGCUGGGUAGACUUCACAUUUGCGAUGGGGAGUCCGCAAUUGCGAACUCUGGGGUUUUUGGUCGGGGAUUGCUUUUGCGAAGAAGUCUUUGCAUUUGUGGAGACUAGGCUGAAGGGGGGAAUAUCGCAUUUGCGAGCUUCUUCUUCUCAUUUGCGAUAAGAGCAGGCCAGGAGGGGAUCUCGUAUUUGCGAGGCUUGCUUCGCAAAUGCGAAGCCUGCAUGUCAGGCGUACCAGCUGUGUUCAACAUGCAGCAAAUUGAACCCGCGACCUAUCAAAAACUCUCCCGAGCCCUCGGGGCUCCAAACCAAACAUGCACAUAACCCCAAAAACAUCCUACGAACUUACUCGUGCGAUCAAAUUUCCAAAAUAACAUCAUUUACAUAGAAUUAGACCUCAAGACACAUGAUUUCUUCCAAAUUUCCAUAUGAUUCUUAAUUCUCAUCUUCAAUUCCGAAACACGUCAAAUGGCGUCUGUUUUCAACCAAACUUUACAGAUAGCCCUUAACGCUUAUUUAAGACCUUUUUCGGGCGUCAGAAUCAAAAUACGAGCCCGAUACCAUCAUUUUCUAACUCAUUUUCAUUUUUCAUAUCAUUUUCGGAUAAAUAAUUUCUUUCAAAAAUUCCCUACUCGUGCCAGGGACCUCGAAUUUCGAUUCCGGGAAUAUGCCCGGGUCCCAUAUAUUUUUACGGACCUUCCGGGACUGUCAUAUCACGGGUCCGGGUCCGGGUCCGUUUACCCAAAAUGUUGACCAAAGUUAACUAUAUCUAUAUUAUUAUCAAAAUUCAUAGUUUUUAACACAAAAUUCAUAUAUUUCCACAUAAAAACUUUCCGGCUUCGCCCCCAGACUGCUCACAUAAAUCGAGACAACAAAAUAAAUGGUUUUCAAGGCCUCGAAAGCGUAAAGAAAGAGAGAAUUACGGUGAUGAACAUUUGGGUCGUCACAGUUUUCAACUUACAUUCCUCAUUUCUAAUGAAAUACACCCUCACACCCGUACCUAGAAGCUUCUAGGAAAUUCUUAGCCAGAUUCCCUUCCCCAAAUUACCCCAAUUGCCCAUAAUUUAUCCCAAAAUUACUAAAAUAGAACAGCUAUAUCCAAAAGAGUCCUAGGGUUUGAAUUUUCAAUUAAGAAAUGUAAUCCUAUCUACUGGGGCCCAUUAACAACAUCAAUCAUUAACUAAAUACAGACUUAACCAAAUAACAUUCAAACAAAUAUUUAAUUAAUAAAAUUACAACUAAAAUUAAGAAUCAUGAUUAACCUAAUGAAUAACUAAUUAAUCACCUAAACUAACAUGAAUAAAAAACACUUGAGAAUUCAUUGACUCACAUUUCAAACGACUUAACAAACUAAAAAAAAAAUAGGACUCAAUUAAAACGACUAAGCAAGAAGACUAUCGAGCAAAACCUUACUGAUAAAAGAAAACUCAGGCCAAUCAUCAUUAUUUCCAAACUCAGCCAUUCCUGGGGUCAUUUCAGCUCUAUUGAUGACCAAGUCUUUACGAGGGAGGCCCAGGGACCCUAUGGAAUCCUAUCUACUUAGUUUUCAACUUACAUCCCUCAUUUCUAAUUAAAUACACCCUCGCACCCGUACCUAGAAGCUGGUAGGAAAUUAUUAGCUAGAUUUCCUUCCCCAAAUUACCCCAAUUGCCCUUAAUUUAUCCUAAAAUUACUAAAAUAGAACAGUUAUAUCCAAAAGAUUCCUAGGGUCUGAAUUUUCAAUUAAGAAAUAUAAUCCUAUCUACUAUGACUAAUUUAUAGCAAAAAUCAUUAACUAAGUACAGACUUAACCAACUAACAUUCAAACAAAUAUUUAAUUAACAGAAUUACAACUAAAAUUAAGAAUCAUGAUUCGAACAACCAAAUUGAAAUAAACCUAAUGAAUAACUAAUUAAUCACCAAAACUAACAUGAAUAAACAACACUUGAAAAUUCACUGACUCACAUUUCAAACGACUUAACAAACUAAAAAAAACAGGACUCAAUUAAAACGACUAAUAAAGAAGACUAUCGAGGAACUAGUAAAGAAAUACAAAAUAAAAGAAAAGGAAAAACUUACUGAUAAAAGAAAACUCAGGCCAGUCAUCAUUGUUUCCAAACUCGGCCAUUCCUGGGGUCAUUUCAGCUCUAUUGAUGGCCAAGUCUUUACUAGGGAGGCCCAGGGACCCUAUGGCGUCAAGUGCAUGCGUUUUGCGCAUUUUAGGGUUUUCGCCGGAAAACUAAAAAUUGACAUUUGAGCAUUUCCGGCCACAUUCGAGGGACGAGGAUAAGAGGGUUGGGUAGAGCGGCCUCAGGCAAACCUAGGGUGUUAAUUUGGG